CCUACGGGGGCAGCAGUCGAGGAUUUUUCACAAUGGGCGAAAGCCUGAUGGAGCGACGCCGCGUGGGGGAUGAAGAGCUUCGGCUUGUAAACCCCUGUCACUUGGGAACAAACGUUUCGGUCUAACACACCGAGACCUGAUAGUACCAGGAGAGGAAGGCACGGCUAACUCUGUGCCAGCAGCCGCGGUAAUUCAGAGGUGCCAAGCGUUGUUCGGAUUUACUGGGCGUAAAGGGUGCGUAGGCGGUCAUGUAAGUCGGAUGUGAAAUCCCGGAGCCUAACUCCGGAAUGGCAGCCGAAACUGCAUGGCUGGAGAUCUGGAGAGGUGAUUGGAAUUCUCGGGGUAGCAGUGAAAUGCGUAGAUAUCGAGAGGAACACCAGAGGCGAAGGCGGAUCACUGGACAGAUUCUGACGCUGAGGCGCGAAAGCCAGGGGAGCAAACG
rnacentral:rRNA from 1 species